rnacentral:rRNA from 1 species
GACGAACGCUGGCGGCGUGCCUAAUACAUGCAAGUAGAACGCUGAAGAGAGGAGCUUGCUCUUCUUGGAUGAGUUGCGAACGGGUGAGUAACGCGUAGGUAACCUGCCUUGUAGCGGGGGAUAACUAUUGGAAACGAUAGCUAAUACCGCAUAACAAUGGAUGACACAUGUCAUUUAUUUGAAAGGGGCAAUUGCUCCACUACAAGAUGGACCUGCGUUGUAUUAGCUAGUAGGUGAGGUAAUGGCUCACCUAGGCGACGAUACAUAGCCGACCUGAGAGGGUGAUCGGCCACACUGGGACUGAGACACGGCCCAGACUCCUACGGGAGGCAGCAGUAGGGAAUUCUCGGCAAUGGGGGCAACCCUGACCGAGCAACGCCGCGUGAGUGAAGAAGGUUUUCGGAUCGUAAAGCUCUGUUGUAAGUCAAGAACGGGGGUGAGAGUGGAAAGUUCACACUGUGACGGUAGCUGACCAGAAAGGGACGGCUAACUACGUG